CCGACAGGCGGGAAUUUGACACGCCGAAUAAUUCUGGGUCCCGGGUUUUAGACAUAAGACGGAUUUUACAUCUCGGUACCUGGAGUUGUAUAGACAACCGUAUUUCGUAUCCCGGUACCCGGAGUUUAGACAACUGUACUGUCGCACUAAAAAAAUGGCGGACAAACUUUCACACGUUUCAUCCUUCUCAGUUAAAGAGAUGUGUGAAUGGGUGGAUAGCAUCUCAAAAGAUCUCACAACCAUAUUUAAAGAUUUUUUGUUAUGCUGCAACAACUAUAUAUUAACAAAAAAGAGAAUGACAUAGAUGGCCAAGGGCUUCUGGCAGUGGUGGAAGAUGACACAUUAUUCAAAGAGUUGGUGCCAAAACUGGUUCUUAGGGCCAAACUGAAACAAGGGCUCUUUUCAGAACUGUUAGUGCAUUUUAUACAUUUAUUCUUGCUUGAGGGAACCAUGUUACUGAUUUUUUUAAAAAGAG